rnacentral:lncRNA from 1 species
AACCUUUGUUUCUCCACCAGCAUGAAGGUUGGCAUGGACAAUAUUUCAAAGAGAAGACAAGAAUGAUAAAUAUGUAUAGCAUUCUUUGACAAAACUGUUGAUGCCAGGCUGAAAAGGAGUAUCAGAACUUUGGAGCUAGUGACAAAAAGAUGCAACAAGUUAAUAGAGUCUGAAAAGAACAAAGUAAAUAAUGACCUACACUUCAAGCAAUAUCAAUACUUUUGAAAAUUAGAGAGGCAAAUUACAGAAAGAAGCUGUACUAUCUUUUCUUGGACACUGU